UGCGUAACACGUAUGCAACCUACCUUACAUUGGGGGAUAGCCUUUCGAAAGGGAGAUUAAUACCGCAUAAGACAGUAACUAGGCAUCUAGUAGCUGUUAAAGAUUUAUCGAUGUAAGCUGGGCAUGCGUCCAAUUAGCUAGUUGGUGAGGUAACGGCUCACCAAGGCAAUGAUUGGUAGGGGAACUGAGAGGUCAAUCCCCCACACUGGCACUGAGAUACGGGCCAGACUCCUACGGGAGGCAGCAGUAGGGAAUAUUGGGCAAUGGACGCAAGUCUGACCCAGCCAUGCCGCGUGCAGGAUGAAGGCGUUAUGCGUUGUAAACUGCUUUUAUACAGGAAGAAACGACUCUUGCGAGAGGCAUUGACGGUACUGUAUGAAUAAGCACCGGCUAACUCCGUGCCAGCAGCCGCGGUAAUACGGAGGGUGCAAGCGUUGUCCGGAUUUAUUGGGUUUAAAGGGUGCGCAGGUGGUUUAUUAAGUCAGUGGUGAAAGACGGUCGCUCAACGAUUGCAGUGCCAUUGAAACUGGUAGACUUGAGUAAAGUAGAGGUGGGCGGAAUUGACAGUGUAGCGGUGAAAUGCAUAGAUAUUAUCAAGAACUCCAAUUGCGUAGGCAGCUCACUUGGCUUUUACUGACACUCAUGCACGAAAGUGUGGGUAUCAAACAGGAUUAGAUACCCUGGUAGUCCACACUGUAAACGAUGAUAACUAGGUGUCGGCCGAAUCUGGUCGGUGCCACAGCGAAAGCG
rnacentral:rRNA from 1 species